CGGGGCGUGGCGCAGCCCGGUAGCGCGCGUCGUUCGGGACGACGAGGUCGCAGGUUCAAAUCCUGUCGCCCCGA
rnacentral:tRNA from 1 species